rnacentral:rRNA from 1 species
CCUACGGGGAGCAGCAGUGAGGAAUAUUGGACAAUGGACGCAAGUCUGAACCAGCGAUGCCGCGUGAAGGAUGAAGGCUCUAUGAGUGGUAAACUGCUGUUGUACGAGGGUAAACCCCGAUACGUGUAUCGGGUUGAAAGUAUCGUACGAAUAAGGAUCGGCUAACUCCGUGCCAGCAGCCGCGGUAAUACGGAGGAGCCGAGCGUUAUCCGGAUUUAUUUGGUUUACAGGGUGCGUAGGCGGUUUGAUAAGUUAGAGGUGAAAUGUCGGGGCUCAACCCCGAAACUGCCUCUAAUACUGUUGGACUAGAGCAUAGUUGCGGUAGGCGGAAUGUCUGGUGUAGCGGU